rnacentral:tRNA from 1 species
AGCAGAGUAGCUUAAUGGAAAGAGCAUGGGCUUGGGAAUCAGAGGUCAUGGGUUCUACUCCUGGCUCUGCCA